rnacentral:lncRNA from 1 species
AGAAAUGAGAACACAAACGUGCAUAGGGGGAAGACCAUGUGAGGACACAGGGAGAAGACAGCAUCUACAAGCCAAGGAGAGGGGCAUGAGAAGAAACCGAACCUGCCAGCAACCUGAUCCCAGACUCCCACCCCUAGAAGUGCAGGAACAAUGCAAACCUGGCCUAUGGUGCUUUGCUACGCAGCCCUGGAAAACUAGGACAGUUCCUGUGAUUCUUCCCGAUGUUCCCAGCCUUCCACCUUCACAUUUUGGAUGCCGCUGCUGUGCGGCCCCAUCUUGCAUGAGCUGCC